UGAUACUACAUACGUGAAUUAUAAUAUUUCACAAUCUGAAAAGACCCCGCAGAGCAGUACACAUAGGUGAUCAAAUUCAUUUACAUAACUCUGUGUUAAAUUUAGUCCACUUUGGAAAUGUGGAACAGCGCCACUCAUCCCCAGCCGGAUAAAUAUGUCCGAUACGGAUGUGGCGGGUCGGGGGGAUUUCUUGGCAACGGAUGCACAGGUUACGCCGUAAUUCCGCGGGACGUUAAUCUAAAUGAAGUUCUCGGAGUUGGACCAAAUUCCAAGGUUGAAAUCGGUUGUGGUGGGAAUAGUGGGACAUUUUCGGACGGUGGGGAUGGAAUCGUGGUUAUUUACGGACCGCAUCCAGAACUAGGGGGAAGGCAGUACAUUCUAGGACGAAAUGGGAGUAGCGGGCUAACGGGAAAUGGCGGGAAGGGAAAAAUCAUUCGGCGCAAUUAAAAUUUCUUGUUUAACUGAUUAUGCAAAAAUUCGGGGAGCUGUUUGUAAUAAUUUAAUUUAAUUAUGGGCCCACGUGGAGGAGAUAGUGUUCAGUAAAGUUAAAAUUGUGGAAGGAUUGGAAUUUUGUUAAAUUAAAUGAAUACAAUUUUGUUUACGAAGCGAAUAAAUAAAAUUGUCAAGUAUUUUAUGUAUCAAGAUGGUUUUAAAUAUUUGGUAUUUUUUACCCUUCAGUAAUUUUUAGUAGUUGGUUAAUUAUUAUUUAAUACAUAAUGACGUAAUGUGAUUGAUCAGCCGAAUACGUGCAAAAGUAAUGUGCCAAAAGAUUAAUAAAAUAUGUAAAUUAUGGGUUAUCAUAUGUUAUAAAUAAAUGAAUAAUAAAUAAAUAAAAUAAAUAAAUAUAUGUUAUAAAUAUGAAAUUUGUCAAUGUUUAUUACAAUUUUGCAGUUACAUAAAUUACAUAAAUAAAUACCUCAAAGAAAGUUGCCUUAAAUUAACAAACUUCAUUUGACGUCUGACUUUGAAAGCUGUAAGAAAUAAAAUAAAUAACUUAUUGCAAUGUAA